ensembl:snoRNA SNORD27 Small nucleolar RNA SNORD27
UUUCCAUAAUGAACAUAAAAUGACAAGCACAUGCCUGAACUCAAGUGAUAGCUUAACUACUGAGAAA